CCGAGUGACCGACAGGUCUAGAAGGCAAUGGGCUGGGGGCUGUCGGCCCUGCGAAGGCAGAUCGUGGCGAUUCCAGACGGCAGGAAGCCCAGUGAAGCGUUGUGGAAAGCGUUACAGACGACAGAGAGACCAGGCCACUGGGGUCCUCCAUGUCCUUGCCAGACUUCAGCCACAAGCUCUGGAGCAUCUGCCAAAGGAAGAGGCAAGAACGCUAUUCAUAAAGCCAAGAAUGGAUAAAUGAAAAGAUGGUUUGCAUGCACAGUGGAAUAUUACUCAGGCAUAAAAAAGAGCAAAGUC